rnacentral:rRNA from 1 species
ACUUUCAACAACGGAUCUCUUGGCUCUCGCAUCGAUGAAGAACGCAGCGAAAUGCGAUACGUAAUGCGAAUUGCAGAUUCCGCGAAUCAUCGGAUCUUUGAACGCAAAUUGUACUUUUUAGUAAUCUAGGAAGUAUGCUUGGUUGAGGGGUC